CCUACGGGUGGCAGCAGUGGGGAAUAUUGGACAAUGGGCGAAAGCCUGAUCCAGCCAUGCCGCGUGUGUGAAGAAGGCCUUCGGGUUGUAAAGCACUUUCAGUGGGGAAGAAAGCCUUGGGGCUAAUACCCUCGAGGAAGGACAUCACCCACAGAAGAAGCACCGGCUAACUCCGUGCCAGCAGCCGCGGUAAUACGGAGGGUGCGAGCGUUAAUCGGAAUUACUGGGCGUAAAGCGCGCGUAGGCGGUCUGAUAAGCCGGUUGUGAAAGCCCCGGGCUCAACCUGGGAACGGCAUCCGGAACUGUCAGGCUAGAGUGCAGGAGAGGAAGGUAGAAUUCCCGGUGUAGCGGUGAAAUGCGUAGAGAUCGGGAGGAAUACCAGUGGCGAAGGCGGCCUUCUGGACUGACACUGACGCUGAGGUGCGAAAGCGUGGGUAGCAAACAGGAUAGAUACCCCGGUAGUC
rnacentral:rRNA from 1 species